AGCGAACGCUGGCGGCAGGCUUAACACAUGCAAGUCGAACGCCCGGGCAACCGGGAGUGGCAGACGGGUGAGUAACGCGUGGGAACGUACCCUUUGGUUCGGAAUAACUCAGGGAAACUUGAGCUAAUACCGGAUAAGCCCUUUUGGGGAAAAAUUUAUCGCCGAAGGAUCGGCCCGCGUCCGAUUAGCUAGUUGGUGAGGUAAUGGCUCACCAAGGCGACGAUCGGUAGCUGGUCUGAGAGGAUGAUCAGCCACACUGGGACUGAGACACGGCCCAGACUCCUACGGGAGGCAGCAAUGGGCAAUAUUGGACAAUGGGGGCAACCCUGACCCAGCCAUGCCGCGUGAGUGAUGAAGGCCCUAGGGUUGUAAAGCUCUUUCGGCGGGGACGAUAAUGACUGUACCCACAGAAGAAGCCCCGGCUAACUCCGUGCCAGCAGCCGCGGUAA
rnacentral:rRNA from 1 species